GGGAUGGUAGCUCAGUGGUAGAGCAUCUGCCUUGUGUGCAGAAGGCCCCAGGUUCAAUUCCCAGCCUCUCCA